rnacentral:rRNA from 1 species
AUUGAACGCUGGCGGCAUGCUUUACACAUGCAAGUCGAACGGUAACAGGCCGCAAGGUGCUGACGAGUGGCGAACGGGUGAGUAACGCAUCGGAACGUAUCCUGUAGUGGGGAAUAACUCAUCGAAAGGUGAGCUAAUACCGCAUAAGCUCUGAGGAGGAAAGCGGGGGACCGAAAGGCCUCGCGCUGCAGGAGCGGCCGAUGUCCGAUUAGCUAGUUGGUGAGGUAAAGGCUCACCAAGGCGACGAUCGGUAGCUGGUCUGAGAGGAUGAUCAGCCACACUGGGACUGAGACACGGCCCAGACUCCUACGGGAGGCAGCAGUGAGGAAUAUUGGACAAUGGGCGGCAAGCCUGAUCCAGCCAUGCCGCGUGAGUGAAGAAGGCCU